UAGGGAAUCUUCCGCAAUGGACGCAAGUCUGACGAGCAACGCCGCGUGAACGAUGAAGGCCUUCGGGUCGUAAAGUUCUGUUGUUAGGGAAGAACAAGUAUUGUUCGAAUAGGGCAGUACCUUGACGGUACCUAACCAGAAAGCCACGGCUAACUACGUG
rnacentral:rRNA from 1 species